UACAGAGGGUGCAAGCGUUGUUCGGAUUCAUUGGGCGUAAAGGGUGCGUAGGUGGCGCCGUAAGUCAGGUGUGAAAUCUCGGGGCUUAACUCCGAAACUGCAUUUGAUACUGCGGUGCUUGAGGACUGGAGAGGAGACUGGAAUUUACGGUGUAGCGGUGAAAUGCGUAGAUAUCGUAAGGAAGACCAGUGGCGAAGGCGGGUCUCUGGACAGUUCCUGACGCUGAGGCACGAAGGCCAGGGAGCAACGGG
rnacentral:rRNA from 1 species